rnacentral:lncRNA from 1 species
GAAGAUGAGAAAUUCUGGACAGUACAGGCUUUGAUCCGUUUUUUCCAUUUGAAAUUUUGAAUAGGUUGUUUCCCGCCGCGCCAAAAAAAUUACAGAAAUGCCACUGAAAUUUCAUUUUUAUUAAUUCAAUUAAUUCAAAUUAAUUAUUAAAAAAUGUUUAACACUUUAAAAAAUUCAUAAAAAAUAGUAAAAAAUUCCUAAAAAUAUGGAGAUUUUUUCCUUGACUUUGUUGACUUGUGUAGGAUUUUUUUGACCUAUUGGUCAAAGUUGU